rnacentral:rRNA from 1 species
GUGAGGAAUAUUGCGCAAUGGAGGCAACUCUGACGCAGCCAUGCCGCGUGCAGGAAGAAGGCGCUACGCGUUGUAAACUGCUUUUAACCGGGAAGAAACCCCAGGACGUGUCCUGGGUUGACGGUACCGGAGGAAUAAGCACCGGCUAACUUCGUGCCAGCAGCCGCGGUAAUACGAAGGGUGCAAGCGUUAUCCGGAUUCAGUGGGUUUAAAGGGUGCGUAGGCGGAGCGUUAAGUCAGUGGUGAAAUCCUGCAGCUUAACUGUAGACUUGCCAUUGAUACUGGCGCUCUUGAGUGCGCUUGAAGUGGGCGGAAUGUGCCGUGUAGCGGUGAAAUGCUUAGAUAUGGCACAGAACACCAAUUGCGAAGGCAGCUCACUAAGGCGAUACUGACGCUGAGGCACGAAAGCGUGGGGAUCGAACAGGAUUAGAUACCCCGGUAGUCC